UCCAAAAACUUUGAGCACCCCUGUUCUAAAACGACACAUUCACUCGCGACCACAAAUUGAAAGCGCCAAAAACUGCUCUGACAGUUUCCUACCGUUUGUCACUCCCACACCAAUCGCUACAGAAUACCCUCUCUUUGCUCUCCCUCUCUCUCCAACCGGGUAGUACAGCGAAUGGUUCAGAGAGACCGAUUGCGUAAUGUCGCUGAGUCGAAAUAGUUUGCGAUCGGCUUUGUUUUACUCAGUUAAUAAACUGCUUAAAAUCAAUGUUAUCAAAAAUGUUUUGCACUUUUGUUGACUACACGGCAUGAAAGACAUACUUACAAGCAAUUUCCAUCAUGCCAAAUACUAAUUAAGCAUAAGCAUAAGCAUAGGUGCCCACCCGCAGUUGCUACUCCGUUAUUGACCAGGACCUCCAGAAGUUACAUCCACGAGCCGUGGAAGAUCAGUGGGAGCUAUCUUUCCUCGCUUCGCAACUUCUCAAAGGCCCCUAUCAUGCUGAUCAAUACCGGCGCCGGCCACGACCAGUGGUAGGGUCACGGGGAAGUGGAUGGGAAUGUUAGUCCGAUACUUGAGUGAUAGAGACCGCCCAAUCGACUGCAUCUCCGACAAAGUAUCACAUGAGUUUUGAGGGGGUUAGUAGAUGGGUAUGAGGUCAGGAUUCACGAGUGGCAGUGAUGUGACCAUGAGCAUUUUGUUUAUCGGUUGAAAAUUUUAAAUCUUAGGCAGCCGGCUGCGGAAAGAUAGAUAAUUGAUCAUUUAAAAAGUUUUUUUUUAUCGAACGCGUGCCAGCCGAGCAGUAGUGCUAUGGGCUGGACUUAUCAGUAUAUUUUUACAAUUUAGAUAACGCGAGCAAAUUUCAAAAAUAGUAAAUAAAUGACGCUUUACUCUUCAUAAAAUCGAUCGAUGCGAGUUGGAAUAAAUUUUUACGAUCAUUUACGAUGAAAAUUAUCGCGAAAAGAACAGGACUGCGCGUCCCCUGAAGCACUGCACUUAUGAUGUCCAAUAAGUUAUAAUAACCAAUCACCCCAUGCACACAAACAGCGACAUAAAAGAAAUGAAAAAGAGCAUGCAAAAACAAGACAGCGCGUCCGCGUGGUCAGCGCACUAAUGAUGCCAUUAUUUAAUUGUAACAACCACUCACCCAAGCACACAAACAGCGACAUAAAAGAAAUGAAAAUGAGCAUGCAAAAACAAGACAGCGCGUCCGCGUGGUCAGCGCACUAAUGAUGCCAUUAUUUAUUUGUAACAACCACUCACCCAAGCACACAAACAGCGACAUAAAAGAAAUGAAAAUGAGCAUGCAAAAACAAGACAGCGCGUCCGCGUGGUCAGCGCACUAAUGAUGCCAUUAUUUAAUUAUAAUAACCACUCACCCAAGCACACAAACAGCGACAUAAAAGAAAUGAAAAAGAGCAUGCAAAAACAGGACAGCGCGUCCGCGUGGUCAGCGCACUAAUGAUGCCAUUAUUUAAUUAUAACAACCACUCACCCAAGCACACAAACAGCGACAUAAAAGAAAUGAAAAUGAGCAUGCAAAAACAAGACAGCGCGUCCGCGUGGUCAGCGCACUAAUGAUGCCAUUAUUUAAUUAUAAUAACCACUCACCCAAGCACACAAACAGCGACAUAAAAGAAAUGAAAAUGAGCAUGCAAAAACAAGACAGCGCGUCCGCGUGGUCAGCGCACUAAUGAUGCCAUUAUUUAAUUAUAAUAACCACUCACCCAAGCACACAAACAGCGACAUAAAAGAAAUGAAAAAGAGCAUGCAAAAACAGGACAGCGCGUCCGCGUGGUCAGCGCACUAAUGAUGCCAUUAUUUAAUUAUAACAACCACUCACCCAAGCACACAAACAGCGACAUAAAAGAAAUGAAAAUGAGCAUGCAAAAACAAGACAGCGCGUCCGCGUGGUCAGCGCACUAAUGAUGCCAUUAUUUAAUUAUAAUAACCACUCACCCAAGCACACAAACAGCGACAUAAAAGAAAUGAAAAUGAGCAUGCAAAAACAAGACAGCGCGUCCGCGUGGUCAGCGCACUAAUGAUGCCAUUAUUUAAUUAUAAUAACCACUCACCCAAGCACACAAACAGCGACAUAAAAGAAAUGAAAAUGAGCAUGCAAAAACAAGACAGCGCGUCCGCGUGGUCAGCGCACUAAUGAUGCCAUUAUUUAAUUAUAAUAACCACUCACCCAAUUUCCAUCAUGCCAAAUACUAAUUUACGCCAAACUGUGGUAGUGCCGAGCUGGUAAUGUUGUUAGAUCCCUGUUUGAAAAAUGUCGCACCCCUGUUUGAAAAAUGUCGCACGUCGUACGAGUUGUCGCACGGUUUUCAUUUUACCGUUUCGAUAUCGAUUGGUCGAAAGGACGACAAACGUGCGACAAACACUCGACAUGCUCGACAUUGUUUUUUCCAUCGAUUUACCUUCAAUUCGACGUCGAUUAUCGUCGACGCAAACAGUUUAACAGUUCUCUUCAGUUGAUCUUGUUCGGACUUGAUCAAAUCAGAAAAACAAUAUUGUUGUAAAGGUUCGUGAGGAUUUUGGCUGGUUGAUUGAUUUCCUGAUUUCAGCCUUCGCGACGGUGGAAGAGAACGUGAAACAUCGUUAACCCGGCGGAUCAUGCCGGAAGAUGGGACGGGAAGGAACCGGUCUGCGAUCGGAAGCGGAUUGGGUUGAAAACGCUUUUUAUGAGCUGUAAUUGAAUGUCAAAGUGCUGAUAUGGCAACAUUAAAGGCACGCUGGAAUUAGAUGCCAUUAUCAAUACUAAGACCUGGAAAAAAGAACAAACUUGCGGCCGAGUACAACCUUUGAGUGAAAGCGAUGGAGGUGAACGAACUACUCACGGGGCAGCACACGAAUUCUACCGGAUUGGCCAUCAUCAAGCGAAAUUUGGAAAAUUGUGACUGCAGUGAUAGUGAAUAUUUGGAAAACAAAGUGCCAGGCCAGUGAAAACCAAUAGAUAUCAAUAAAAAUCAGCAAAACAACAAAUAAAAUGAAUUUUAUUUCGAAAAUAACCUAAAAAUUCCGAAAUGACAGCACACGACAAUAGCACGACAUCUUAAAUAACAAAACCGUGCGACGUCGGUCGAAUGUCGUACGACAAUGUCGAACAAUUUCGAUGAUCGAUCGCACGACAAAUACGACAUUUUGGUGCAAAAACGUAUGACAUUCGUGCGAAUGUCGCACGACAUUGGCGUGCGACGUCGUACGAUUGCACGUACGACAAACGACGGACGUCGGACGGACUUUUCAG